UGGAGAGCCUCAGCCCGUGGCUGCAGUAUCUGUACGGCUCUGCCAGGGAGAAACUGCUCUGGGCUCACCGCAGCCAGGCGCUGGCUCCUCAGGGUGCUCUGGCUCUGCCCCAUGAGGAAUUUUUCACUAUGCAGAAUAUUUUUUCACUAUGCAGAAUAUUUUUCUCUUCUUUAUUAAAAAGGCCACGUUAAAUACCUGUGAGGUUCCUCAACGCCUACGUUGCCGAACUGAUCCACCCCAGCUGGCAGCUUUGUAGAACAGGAGACACGAGGUUACUGCACUGUCAUUCUCACAUGGAUCCAUGUUUCUAAUAGCUAUGGAGAUCCAGCUUUAAAGUCCUCUGAGAGCCAUUGGAAUGAAGAGCACUUUGUGAGGACGUUGUGAUUAUUAUGGGAUUUAGGGCUGUGUGGAAAUGAUUCAUGGAGAUGUUUCCCAGCCAGCAGGCUCUUGGAGCCAGGUGAGCUCUUCCCUGGAAUGUGAAGCAUGCAGCACGGCAACUGGGAGGAACAGGUUUGGCAGGACAUUUUAAGUUGUUCACAGCAGACGGGCUUUUCAGAGCCACGUCCCUGCUUUACCAACCUUCCCAGCUGGAUGUUCCUCUCCGCCACACUGGCCCUGGUGAGCCCAAAAGGAUGGACACGUUGCGAAGGAGCCUUUCUCGCUGGAAGAGGUACCACAUCAAGGUGCACCUGGCUGAUGAGGACCUGAUGAUGCCCCUGACGGUGAAGCCCAGAGACACGGUGAUGGACCUUCGGGCUUACUUGGUACGGGAGGGCGUCACUUCCUGGAAGAAGACAUUUUAUUACAACUCCAGGCAGCUUGAGGAGCACGAGACUCUCAAAGAAGCCAACAUCCAGAACGGUUCUGUCCUGCUUCUUGUCAGCAACAAAAGAUAAUGCCAAAGAGCACAGCCACAGCCAUGAGCGAUGGGGAGUGUGACGAGGGCUGAAGGGAAGCAGAUGGAAGAGGGCUUGGCAGUGGAACGGCAGCCCGGCCACCGACGUUUGGUAAGUCCCUCCCUGCACGCCAGCUCAAGGACUGUUCAGAAAGCAGCUCCGACUGUUUCCAGCACAGCGGCCAUGAAUAAUGAACCCAAACUAAACAACAAACGAUGUUUUCUCAUCGGUGUGCCUUAUGGUCUCAGCUGCCAGGGCAGAGCACGGGUAAGACGGGCUCAGCUCCGAGUGCAGUGAACAAGAGUGAAACACCUGUGAAAGGGUGACUUCUACCUGAGUAAUGAAGUGAGUGAAGGUGGACUUUGCCAGGGCCCUUGAUGGGGACACUGGACACCUGAGACUCCUGCCGGCUCAGGAUUCCUCAGUAAGUUGCUGAUCUUGGCCACUGUUUUCCUAUGUGUAAGCCUGAGAUAACUUACCCUUCCCUUCUUCCUACUCUUUGUCCAUCCAGCUGUGCCUCAGGUUAGGGACUGCCUGGGCUCCCAAGCAGUUCCUGCCUGGCAGGGCCCCAAUUUCAAUCCAGGUUGAAUGCUCCAUACAGCAAACAAACUACAAGCAUACCAUCGACAGCCCUAGACCUUGACGGCCUUUAUACAUCCAAAGGGCAGAGACCAGUUGGCCACUAUGACAGCAACUAUCUCACCUGACAUUAGGGACCCUCUGUUCCUCCAAAGGUGCUGUAUUUUUGAGCCAGGGUUUGUAAGGCACUGAGCCUCCUCGUGUCGUUCUUCUGUGAGCCAGUCUCCCCGCUCCAACAACUCCUGAACAAGCUAAACUGAUUCAACCCAGUUUGAUGGAAAGAGAGAGGUCACACAGACCUAAGAUUCCUGCAGUUGUCAUGAAAACAGCAGCUGGAUGGGAGAGAGACAUUGAAGCUAACAUCCUGCUGAAGGGAAGGUAAUUACACCUCUUGCUCCCUAUUAUUCGGAGUUGCAGCAGCCAGGUGACCAGCUGGCAUCUCAAUCCUGGUGGUUACUCAGUGCCUGUCCAGCUCCAAACCAGCCUCUGCCCUUACUGCCCCUUGCUGGCAAAGCAAGAAGCUGCGAGGAGAGCAAGGAUUUUGCCGGAGAGGUCUAGAGGGGAUCAGGAUGCCCUGGGGAUAUCACAGGGAGCACCAAGAGAGGAAGAAAUCAAAAGCAGUUGUAAUAGACAAAUCAGGACAACGGGUUUCACCGGUUCAUCUGCUCACAGAACAACUCAGUUUUUAGGCUCGAAUGUAUUUUCAGGAUGAGAAAUUUCUUUAACCUGGGCUUUCCCCAGAAAAUGCCAGUGACUGGCAACUAUCAACCCCCCCCAAACCUGCAUUUGCUGUUUUACAACUGAAACCCAUGCCUUUCUGGACUUUUUUUGGCGAUGAGAAAACAUUUGACUCUUUUUUUCCAACAAAAGCAUUUGAAGAAAUGCCAUGGAAAAUGGAGUUUCUAAUUUCCCAGGUUUAUUUUCUUCCUAGGAACCAAAAUAUUUCCCCCAAGUACUUCAGAAACAGACUCUGAGACAGAGACAUGAACACAGUCACAGCUGAAACUCUUUCAGUCCAAGCAACUGAGAUGGACAAAGAGUGGGAUGGGAUCAAGCGUGGGAAGAAGCACUGUGACUUUGCCAAGGUCAACCAACAAGCGAGGCACGCAGUGGAGAGCGUGCCGGCGCUGUUGGGUCAGCGUUUCUGCCACUUGACCAUGCGGCGCCUCUGCGCGUCCGUCUGUCCUGAAAUAAUGAGUUUCUUGGAGCAGAGCCAGUACUUUCCCCGAGUGCUUGGAAAAUGCCUUGUGCAGCCCUGGGUGCAGUCUUAAAUAAUAAUUUAAAUGAUAAUAAUAAUAUUAAAGUGGAGGCAAGCCAGUGACAAUGGGACAAACUCGGCAGCCGAGUCCUCUGUGUCCCUCUCCCAGUGAAAGGUGCAGUUUGCUCACAAAGCCCAGGAGAUUAGAAUUUACCUCUCUGGACCCAACAAUCACAGUCUGGUGCUCCACAUGAGGCAAACUGACCUCAGCUGGAUUAGAUUCAGUAUCUGCUCCAACGCCUCGAGCCUGUAGCUGGCAGGUCUGGCCAGCACUGGAAGGCUUUGGCAGCUCAGGGGGAUAUCGGAUGAGUGAAUUACCUGGGCUGGGGUGGGGAGCUGCCUGCGCUAAUGGUUUUUUUUCAGAGAUAGGCUCUGAUUGACACUUCAAAUCUGCCUGACAAUCUCUUAUUCUAAGCGCAGUUGCUGCCUCUCUCCAGAGCAGGAGGAGCUGGUUUGGUUGCUGUCCUUCAAAUGAUGGAUUUUAUCACAUGGGAAAAAGAAGGGGAAAAAGCAAACCACCUGCAAACAGCCACAGGUCCUUCAUAAAAAGAGGUGCGGACAAGAGCAAGGACCAAAGCUGAACAGCGUGGAGCUCCUGUCUGUGUACCAGCCUGAGUGUAUUGCAAGAUGGAGACGUUUGCAAGCAUGGAUGGGAUUUCUUCUUGUUGGGAGUGUUUAUCUUUGGGAU